UCCGGCACAGUGCUUCAGAAAAAUAUCCUUCCGAGUUUGAAGCAAGCUUCGGAGCCUCGGUAUCAGAGGGAACAUCACUAUCCAUACUUUUACCUUCGUGUCCUUUCCUGUGGGUUCAUGAAUUCGUAGUGGCGCUGGCGUGUCUUCUGCCUGCAUUACCUGCUGCCAGUACCUAAAACACCAGUGGCGCCGAUGAGGCUCUUGUCCAGCACAAUCUGCUGUUGUUCCUGAUCCACGCUGUUGCACUAAGUACCUAUAAAUCAUUGUGAUAAAUGAUCCGUUCAGAAAUAAAUUGUGGUUUGUGCAUUCUAAGGUGCUGCACUUUAAAUGUGUUGGGCUCUUUAAGAGCAGGCCCUCCCUCAUUGGAUCCACACCAGGCACUGACGAGCGUGGGUCUAGGACCUCCAGCUGCACCAGCCCAUCUCCAAUCUGCUCCACUUACCUGUAGCCUCCUGUGCCCUGAUCUCACCAGUGCCAUGCCGACCCACCAGUGUGUCCUUGGCCCUGCAGCUCCACCAAGUUCUCUCCUGCCUGUCUGACUCCCCUGAGUGCUCCCGGCACCGCAGUUACACUUUGGUGACAGCACAGCCUGUGAGAGGAGAUACUGAGCUGAUGAGGAGGUAAAGUUGGAGAGGAAACAUGUAAUGAGGAGAGUAG